rnacentral:rRNA from 1 species
GAUGAACGCUGGCGGCGUGCCUAAUACAUGCAAGUCGAGCGAACAGAUAAGGAGCUUGCUCCUUUGACGUUAGCGGCGGACGGGUGAGUAACACGUGGGUAACCUACCUAUAAGACUGGGAUAACUUCGGGAAACCGGAGCUAAUACCGGAUAAUAUUUCGAACCGCAUGGUUCGAUAGUGAAAGAUGGUUUUGCUAUCACUUAUAGAUGGACCCGCGCCGUAUUAGCUAGUUGGUAAGGUAACGGCUUACCAAGGCGACAAUACGUAGCCGACCUGAGAGGGUGAUCGGCCACACUGGAACUGAGACACGGUCCAGACUCCUACGGGAGGCAGCAGUAGGGAAUCUUCCGCAAUGGGCGAAAGCCUGACGGAGCAACGCCGCGUGAGUGAUGAAGGUCUUCGGAUCGUAAAACUCUGUUAUUAGGGAAGAACAUACGUGUAAGUAACUGUGCACGUCUUGACGGUACCUAAUCAGAAAGCCACGGCUAACUACGUG